CCGAAGUCCGUGUCUUCAGGAAGUCGGAUGACUUCUCGCAUUCCACACGGGUGAUUCCUUCGUCCCCAACCCUAAGGUUUCGGCAACCUGUCGUUCCCGUGUCUCCGCCGCCACUUCGGACGGUCUAGCUCCACCAUCGUCCGCCCAUCGCCACGGUAAGACUUUCUCCCCCUGUGCCAGUUGAUUUUUUCUCGUCGUGCCCUCUGUUUGGUCGCCAUCUGACAUCCGCCUUCUCCAUCGGAUGCUCUUUCUGCUAGACCUUCGCGUUGUUACCAAGGUCAAUCGCCGCCAUUUUGCCGGCAUGACACAUUUCGUCUCCUCCAUUACGUCGUCUUGUUCGUCCUUGCUUUUGCUCUAACUGCUCGUUCGUUGGCCUUGCAGGUGAAUCCAAGGUUGCAUUUUCGCGAUACGCUUCGAAUCCGUUCGUUGAUCCCGAUAGUUCACGUUGCUAGUGGCCAGUAUGUCGUUUCCAUCCUUCAAUCCUCAUUUCUCGAUUGGAUAUGAUUCAAAUCGAACCGUAUUUUGUUUAUUUGGCCCCUCACUGCUCCCUUUGAUUCGUUUCUAAGAGAACUUAGAGCGGAGUGAAUAGGUGAUCCUGUAAAAAUUUAAAACUUGUAGCCACAAAACUUGGUUAAGUGUUAGCACAAUGAAAUCAAGUGGCUAAGGACCGAGCUCUUGUGAAACACAAUGGUCACAAGGAAAACAAGCACAAGAGACACGGUGAUUUAUCCCGUGGUUCGGCCAAGUAUAACACUUGCCUACUCCACGUUGUGGCGUCCCAAUGGACGAGGGUUGCACUCAACCCCUCUCAAGUGAUCCAAUGACCGACUUGAAUACCGGUGUUUUCUUUCUUAUACUCUUUCCCGUUUGCGAGGAAUCUCCACAACUUGGAGCCUCUCGCCCUUACAAUUGAUGAUCAAAAAGAAGCACGGAAGUAAGGUUGGGAAGAGCAACACACACAAGACUCAAAGCACGAGCACAAUCACGCACACAAGCCACAACUUGAGCUCACAACACAACUCAAGGAGUUCUCUACUCAAAUGGAGCUCAAGUCACUAUCUCAAAGAAUCGAAUGCGCGAGAAUGGAGUCUUGGUGCUUAGGAAUGAUCAAGGAAUGCUUGAGUGACUCCUCCCUAUGCCUAGGGGUCCCUUUUAUAGCCCCAAGGCAGCUAGGAGCCGUUGGAACCCAACAAGGAAGGCAAUUCUUGCCUUCUGUCGGGUGGCGCACCGGACAGUCCAGUGCACCACCGGACAACCACUGUAGCAUGUUCGGUGCGGAUCUCCUUCCAUUCCUGGCGCAGCCGACCGUUGGAUCUUUGGGCUAGUUGGCGCACCGGACACUGUCCGGUGCACACUGGACAGUCCAAUGCCCCCAGCCGACCGUUGGCUGGGGCCACGCGUCGCGCGCGGAUUGCGCGGCCGACCGUUGCGCUGGCGGCCGUUGGCUCACCGGACAGUCCGGUGCACCACCGGACAGUCCGGUGAAUUAUAGCCGUAAGCCGCCGACGAAUUACCAAGAGUGGCCAGUUCGCCAGAGCCCAGCCUGACGCACCGGACAUUGUCUGGUGCACCCAGACUGAGCAGCAUUUGGCUGUACACAGCCAACUCUUUUCCAAUCCUUUUCUUUUCCUGAUUCUAGCACUUAGACAAAUAUAUUAGUACACAAAAACCAAUGUACUAAGUCUAGAACCAUACCUUCUUGUCGAUUUGCACUUCAUCCAUCAUUUGGUAUAUAAUUACUCACUCAAUAUGUGUUGGGCACUUAAUCACCAAAAUAUACUAGAAAUGGCCCAAGGGCACAUUUCCCUUUCAAUCUCCCCCUUUUUGGUGAUUUAUGCCAACACAUCAAAAAGCAACAAAUAGAGGUGCAACGUCAAUGCAAUUGAGAAUAAAAAUAGUCUUUGACAAGAUUUGACAUAUUUGGAUCGUUCUUCGCCACCACUUGGUUUGUUUUUGCAAAUCAAAUUCAUUUUCCUAUCUCUAAGUUAAACACACAUGUUUAGACACAAGGAGAGAUAAUCCAAGAGUAAAAAUGAUUAAUAGCCAAAAACUCCCCCUUUUUCCCAUAAUCAAACAUUCUCCCCACAAGAGACCAAAUUUUGAUAGUAAGAGUUAUUUUGACAAAUCAAAAGUUCUACUCUACUCUUUUUCAAAAAUUUUACAAGUGGUAGCUGAUCCAUUUGCUUUGGCCUUAUUUUCUCCCCCUUUGGCAUUAAGCACCAAAACGGGAUCAAUCUUGGCCCUUAAACCCCAUUGCCUCACCAAAAUCGUCAAUUACGAGUAAAAAGGCAAUAAGAGCAUGGAGAUGAACUUGGAGUAAAUUACCCUCUCAUCGGAGUGCAGUGGAAGUCUUGCAUGGUCCAAGUUCACCUUUCCCUUUCAAUCCACUUUUGAGACUCAAACAAGUAAACUCAAACACAAGGUUAGUCUCAAAGUGUCAAGUUGUAGCAUGCCUCCCCCUAAAUAAGUGCAUCACUUGCAAAUGGACUUGUGAGGUCCGGGGAUCAUGUGUACAACUUGAGCACCACAAAUGAACAAAAUAGAUUGAAAUGCAUAAAUUACAUGAUCAAAGGCAUAAAACACAUGUAUGUUAUAGAUCAAUCCAAGUUACGCGAAUCUAAGACAUUUAGUUCACUACGUAGCCUGCAAAAGGUCUUUUCAUCUAAAGGCUUGGUAAAGAUAUCGGCUAGCUGGUUCUCGGUGCUAACAUAAAACACUUCGAUAUCUCUCUUUUGCUGGUGGUCUCUCAAAAAGUGAUGCCGAAUGUCUAUGUGCUUAGUGCGGCUGUGUUCAACAGGAUUAUCCGCCAUGCGGAUUGCACUCUCAUUAUCACAUAGGAGUGGGACUUUGCUUAGAUUGUAGCCAAAGUCUCGGAGGGUUUGCCUCAUCCAAAGUAGUUGCGUGCAACAUUGUCCUGCGGCAACAUACUCGGCCUCAACGGUGGAUAGGGCAACGGAAGUUUGUUUCUUUGAACUCCAAGACACUAGGGACCUUCCUAGGAAUUGGCAUGUCCCUGAUGUACUCUUCCUAUCAACCUUGCACCCGGCAUAAUCGGAGUCUGAAUAUCCAAUCAAGUCAAAGGUAGACCCCUUUGGAUACCAGAUCCCGAAGCAAGGCGUAGCAACUAAAUAUCUAAGAAUCCGCUUAACGGCCACAAGGUGACAUUCCCUUGGGUCAGAUUGAUAUCUAGCACACAUGCAAACGCUGAGCAUAAUAUCCGGUCUACUAGCACAUAAGUAAAGCAAGGAACCUAUCAUAGACCGGUAUGCCUUUUGAUCAACGGACUUACCUCUUUUGUUGAGGUCGACAUGUCCGUCGGUUCCCAUUGGAGUCUUUGCGAGCUUUGUGUCCUUCAUCCCAAACCGCUUGAGCAAGUCUUGCGUGUACUUCGUUUGGGAGAUGAAGGUGUCGUCCUUGAGUUGCUUCACUUGGAACCCAAGGAAGUAGUUUAACUCGCCCAUCAUCGACAUCUCAAAUUUCUGAGUCAUCACCCUGCUAAACUCUUCACAAGACUUUUGGUUAGUAGAACCAAAUAUUAUGUCAUUGACAUAAAUUUGGCACACAAAUAAGUCACCAUCACAAGUCUUAGUGAAUAGAGUUGGAUCGGCUUUCCCAACCUUGAAAGCAUUAGCAAUUAGAAAAUCUCUAAGGCAUUCAUACCAUGCUCUUGGGGCUUGCUUAAGUCCAUAGAGCGCCUUAGAGAGCUUACACACAUGAUCGGGGUACCGUUCAUCCUCAAAGCUAGGGGGUUGCUAUACGUACACCUCCUCCUUGAUUGCCCAUUGAGGAAAGCGCUCUUCACAUCCAUUUGGAACAACCUGAAGGAAUGGUGAGCGACAUAGGCUAACAAAAUGCGAAUAGACUCUAGCCUAGCCACAGGAGCAAAAGUCUCCUCAAAGUCCAAACCUGCGACUUGGGCAUAACCUUGUGCCACAAGUUGAGCCUUGUUCCUUGUCACCACCCCGUGCUCAUCCUGUUUGUUGCGGAACACCCACUUGGUUCCCACAAUGUUUUGCUUGGGACGUGGCACCAGGGUCCAAACUUUAUUUCGCUUGAAGUUGUUGAGCUCUUCCUGCAUGGCCAACACCCAAUCCGGAUCUAGCAAGGCCUCUUCUACCCUGAAAGGCUCAAUAGAAGAGACAAACGAGUAAUGCUCACAAAAAUUAGCUAAUCUAGAGCGAGUAGUUAUUCCCUUGCUUAUAUCACCCAAAAUCUAGUCGACAGGAUGAUUCUUUUGAAUCAUCGCUCGGACUUGAGUUGGAGGGGCCAGUGGUGCUUCUUCCUCCACAACUUGUUCUUCUUGUGCUCCCCCUUGAUCACACGCCUCCUCUUGAGGAGCAUGUUCUUCAUCUUGAGUCGGGGGAUGCACCAUCGUUGAGGAAGAAGGUUGAUCUUGCUCUUGGUGUUCCUGUGGUCGCACAUCUCCAAUAGCCAUGGUGUGAAUUGCGUCCGUUGGAACAUCAUCUUCAUCUACAUCAUCAAGAUCAACUUGCUCUCUUGGAGAGCCAUUAGUUUUAUCAAAUACAACGUCGCUAGAGACUUCAACCAAACCCGAUGAUUUGUUGAAGACUCUAUACACUUUUGUAUUUGAGUCAUAACCUAAUAAAAACCCUUCUACAGCUUUGGGAGCAAAUUUGGAAUUCCUACCUUUCUUCACUAGAAUGUUACAUUUACUCCCAAAUACACGAAAAUAUGAAACGUUGGGUUUGUUACCGGUUAGAAGUUCGUAUGACGUCUUCUUGAGGAGGCGAUGAAGGUAGACCCGGUUUAUGGCGUGGCAAGCUGUGUUCACAGCUUCCGACCAAAACCGCUCGGGUGUCUUGAAUUCUCUAAGCAUCGUCCUCGCCAUGAAUAUAAGCGUCCUGUUCUUCCUCUCUACCACACCAUUUUGCUAUGGUGUGUAGGGAGCAGAUAACUCGUGCUUGAUUCCUUCCUCCUCAAGAAACUCUUCCACUUGAAGAUUCUUGAACUCGGACCCGUUGUCGCUUCUUAUAUUUUUCACCUUGAGCUCAAAUUCGUUUUGAGCUCUCCUUAGGAAGCGCUUUAGGGUCCCUUGGGUUUCUGAUUUAUCCUGCAAAAAAGAAUACCCAAGUGAAGCGGGAAAAAUCAUCAACAAUAAUAAGACCAUACUUACUUCCCCCGAUGCUGAGGUAGGCGACGGGUCCGAAGAGGUCCAUGUGAAGUAGCUCCAGAGGUCUUGAUGUGGUCAUCACAUUCUUGCUGUGGUGAGUACUUCCCACUUGUUUACCUGCUUGACAAGCUGCACAAGGUCUAUCUUUUUCGAAAGUUACAUUGGUUAGACCUAACACAUGUUCUCCCUUUAGAAGUUUAUGAAGGUUCUUCAUCCCAACAUGUGCUAGACGGUGAUGCCACAGCCAGCCCAUGCUAGUCUUAGCGAUUAAGCAUGCAUCUAGAUUGGCCUCCUCUUUCGAAAAAUCAACUAAAUAGAGUUUGCCGUCUAGUACACCCUUAAAAGCUAAUGAACCAUCACUCCUUCUAAAGACAGACACAUCUACAUUGGUAAAUAAGCAAUUGUAACCCAUAUUACAUAGUUGACUAACGGACAACAAGUUAUACCCGAGUGAUUCAACUAAGAACACAUUAGAUAUGGAAUGCGCGGAUGAAAUAGCUAUCUUUCCUACUCCUUUAACCUUGCCUUGAUUCCCGUCUCCAAAGAUGAUCGAAUCUUGGGAAUCUUUGUUCUUGACAUAGGAGGUGAACAUCUUCUUCUCCCUCGUCAUGUGGUUUGUGCAUCCGCUGUCGAUAAUCUAGCUUGAGCCCCCGGAUGCAUAAACCUGCAAGGCAAAUUAGGCUUGGGUUUUAGGUACCCAACUCUUGUUGGGUCCUACAAGGUUAGUAACAAUAGCCUUAGGGACCCAAAUGCAAGUCUUGUCUCCCUUGCAUUUGGCCCCCAUCUUUUGAGCAACCACUUUUUCAUUUUUACGUGAAAGAACAAAUGUAGUGUUGCAAGCAUGAAAAAUAGUGGUAGGUUUAUUACAGACUUUUCGAGGAGCAUGAGACACAAAAUUUCUCCUAGACCUACCAUUAACAUUGGAACUUGAAGCAAUCAUGGCAUGUGAGUCAAAAACAUUAUAACUCCUAUUAUAAUGAAAAUUUCUAGAAUAUUUUUUAUCAUGGUACAUGAAAGCAUGAUUCUUUUGACUACUACUAGCCAUUGGGGCCUUCCCUUUCUCCUUGUUGGAAAUGGGAGCCCUUUGACUUGUUAAGUUCUUGGCUUCCCUUCAAAAGCCAAGCCCAUCCUUAAUUGAGGGAUGUCUACCAACGGUGUAGGCAUCCCUAGCAAAUUUUAAUUUAUCAAAGUCAUUUUUGCAAGUCUUAAGUUGGGCAUUAAGACUUGCUAUUUCAUCAUUAAGUUUUGUAAUAGAAGUAAGGUGCUCAACACAUGCAUCAACGUUGAAGUCCUUACACCUAUUACAAAUCACAACGUGCUCUACACAAGAACUAGAUUUAUUUACUACUUCUAGCUUAGCAUUUAAAUCAUCAUUAAUACUUUUUAAGUUAGACACAGUUUCAUGAUAAGUAGAUAAUUCACAAGAAAGCAUUUCAUUUCUUUUAACCUCUAAAGCAAGAGACUUUUGCACACUUACAAAUUUAUCAUGCUCUUCAUAUAAGGAUCCUCUUGCUUUUCUAAAAGUCUAUUCUUUUCAUUUAGAGCAUCAAUCAUUUCAUUGAAUUUUUCUACCUUGGCUCUAUCUAAACCUUUAAAUAAGCUAGAAUAGUCUACUUCAUCAUCACUAGAAUCUUCAUCGCUAGAAGUAGUAUAUUUAGGAGUUUCUCGAGCGCUUACCUUCUUCUCCUUUGCCAUUAGGCAAGUAUGGCGCUCGUUGGGGAAGAGAGACGACUUGUUGAAGGCCGAGGCGGCGAGUCCUUCGUCGUCGGAGUCAGACGAAGAGCAAUCUGAAUCCCACUCUUUGCCUAGGUGUGCCUCGCCCUUCGCCUUCUUGGAGGCCUUCUUCUUCUCCCUCUUCCCACCUUUUUCUUGUUCCUGGUCAUUAGCAUUAUCGGGACAAUUUGCUAUAAAAUGACCAGUCUUACCACAUUUAAAACAGGAACGCUUUCCCUUUGGUUUGCUCUUAUUGGGAUGCUCCUUUCGUCCUUUUAGCGCCGUCUUGAAGCGCUUGAUGAUGAGAUCCAUUUCAUCCUCGUUUAGCCCGACCGCCUUAACUUGCGCCACCUUGCUAGGUAGCGCCUCCCUGCUACUUGUUGCUUUGAGAGCAACGGUUUGAGGCUCGUAGAUGGGCAUUGGGCCAUUCAAUGGCUCAUCAACGUAUCUUGCUUCCUUGAUCAUCAUACGCCCGCUUACAAACUUUCCGAGUAUUUCCUCGGGCGUCAUCUUGGUAUACCUAGGAUUCUCAUGGGUUGAGUUCACAAGAUGAGGAUCAAGUACAGUGAAGGACCUGAGCAUUAGUCGGACGACGUCGUGGUCCGUCCAUCUCGUGCUUCCAUAGCUCCUGAUCUUGUUGACCAGGGUCUUGAGCCUGUUGUACGUUUGGGUUGGCUCCUCCCCCCUGAUCAUCGCGAACCUUCCUAGUUCGCCUUCCACCAACUCCAUCUUGGUGAUCAUGGUGGCGUCAUUCCCCUCAUGAGAAAUCUUGAGGGUGUCCCAAAUUUGCUUGGCGUUAUCCAAGCCGCUCACCUUGUGGUACUCGUCCCUGCACAAGGAUGCUAGCAAAACAGUGGUAGCUUGUGCAUUUUUAUGGAUUUGCUCAUUAAUGAAAACAGGGUUGUCAGUACUAUCAAAAAGCAUUCCGUUUUCAACGAUCUCCCAAAUACUUGGAUGGAGAGAGAAUAGGUGACUACGCAUUUUGUGACUCCAAAAUGAGUAGUCUUCUCCAUCAAAGUGCGGAGGUUUCCCAAGUGGAAUUGAAAGUAAAUGAGCAUUGGAGUUAAACGGAAUACGAGAAUAAUCAAAAGAAAAGUUUGAGUUAACCGGUUUCUUUUUCUCGUCGUAGUCGUUGUCUCUUGGGGAAGAAGAAGACUCGUCACUGUCGUAGUAGACGAUCUUCUUGAUGCGUCUCUUCUUCUUCCCAUCUCUUUUCUUAUGACUCGAGCUAGAGUCCGAGGGCUUAUCAUCUUUUGGCUCGUUGACGAUUACUCCUUUGUCUUGUCAUUGACCACCAUCCCCUUUCCCUUAGGAUUCAUCUCUUCAGGCGAUUAGUCCCUUUCGUGAAGAGAAUGGCUCCGAUACCAAUUGAGAGAACCUAGAGGGGGCUGAAUAGGUGAUCCUGUAAAAAUUUAAAACUUAUAGCCACAAAACUUGGUUAAGUGUUAGCACAAUGAAAUCAAGUGGCUAAGGACCGAGCUCUUGUGAAACACAAUGGUCACAAGGAAAACAAGCACAAGAGACACGGUGAUUUAUCCCGUGGUUCGGCCAAGUAUAACACUUGCCUACUCCACGUUGUGGCGUCCCAAUGGACGAGGGUUGCACUCAACCCCUCUCAAGUGAUCCAAUGAUCGACUUGAAUACCACGGUGUUUUCUUUCUUAUACUCUUUCCCGUUUGCGAGGAAUCUCCACAACUUGGAGCCUCUCGCCCUUACAAUUGAUGAUCACAAAGAAGCACGAAAGUAAGGUUGGGAAGAGCAACACACACAAGACUCAAAGCACGAGCACAAUCACGCACACAAGCCACAACUUGAGCUUACAACACAACUCAAGGAGUUCUCUACUCAAAUGGAGCUCAAGUCACUAUCUCAAAGAAUCGAAUGCACGAGAAUGAAGUCUUGGUGCUUAGGAAUGAUCAAGGAAUGCUUGAGUGACUCCUCCCUGCGCCUAGGGGUCCCUUUUAUAGCCCCAAGGCAGCUAGGAGCCGUUGGAACCCAAAAAGGAAGGCAAUUCUUGCCUUCUAUCGGGUGGCGCACCGGACAGCCACUGUAGCAUGUCCGGUGCGGAUCUCCUUCCAUUCCUAGCGCAGCCGACCGUUGGAUCUUUGGACUGGUUGGCGCACCGGACAUUGUCCGGUGCACACCGGACAGUCCGGUGCCCCCAACCGACCGUUGGCUGGGGCCACGCGUCGCGCGUGGAUUGCGCGGCCGACCGUUGCGCUGGCGGCCGUUGGCUCACCGGAUAGUCCGGUGAAUUAUAGCCGUAAGCCGCCGACGAAUUCCCGAGAGUGGCCAGUUCGCCAGAGCCCAGCCUGGCGCACCAGACACUGUCCGGUGCACCACCGGACAGUCCAAUGCACCCAGACUGAGCAGCAGUUGGCUGUACACAGCCAACUCUUUUCCAAUCCUUUUCUUUUCCUGAUUCUAUCACUUAGACAAAUAUAUUAGUACACAAAAACAAAUGUACUAAGUCUAGAACCAUACCUUCUUGUCGUUUGCACUUCAUCCAUCAUUUGGUAUAUAAUUACUCACUCAAUAUGUGUUGGGCACUUAAUCACCAAAAUAUACUAGAAAUGGCCCAAGGGCACAUUUCCCUUUCAGUUUCUGACAACAGAUUUUGAGCUAGUCCGUAGAUCUAGUUGUUGUGUUCAUCACCGGCAUCACAUUCAACUGAGGUAAAUUUCGACACCCUUGUUUUCUUUGUGAGAUGUUUGUGUACAUGUUUGCCAGUGCUUGGUUAGUUGUUGUGCUCAUUAGUUUAAUGUGAUUGUACAUAUUGUCGUACUUAUUAAGUAAUUCCGAUGAACUAUAGCAUGUGUGCAACAUUGAUAUCAAAUUGUUGUUAGUGGUUUCGUAUUUAGUGACCGUAGCCACAUCUCUGUUGUUGCUGGUUUCUCAUAUUGUCAUGCAUGUUUUCGACCUGUACGACAAAUCUGAUUUUUGUUCAGUGUUUUAGGUUUCCUGUACUAUUGGCUCAUGUCUUAACUCAAAUCUUAUUUUCGGUUAGAUGUCUUAAUUUAAAUAUGAUUUUCGGUUAGAUGGACAAAUCUGGAAAAGUGGUAGCAAAGUGGGACAUAAGGUGUCACACCCGGUUUUGGAAGGUAACCGAAUGCGAACCAUGUACGUGCCAGAAUCAGAAAUUCACAUACACAAUGAUUACAUAAAUGACUCAUCAUAGCACAGUGCUUCGAAUAACAAUAAAGAGUAAGUAAUAGUAUUAAAGACUAGAGUCAUUUACAUAAUAUAAAUCAAAGUGCACAUAAUAGAAACGUAGCCAACGUAAAUAAACCCACCACAUGCAGUAGACUGGGGGGAGGUCGCUAGCCUAAUCCUCAAAUUCGUCAAAGUCCUGGAACUUCCGGAGAUCCGCCUCGACACUUUCUUCUCCUUCUUUACCUGAGCAUAGAUUGCACCAAAGGCAAUGUAACACCCUGAAUUUGGGGGUAUAAAAUUUCUUUGCUCAUAUUCACAAAUUCAGGUGUUACUUCUCUUUUCACACCUUUCCCCAAUCUCCUCUUUCUCUUUUCUAUAGAAGAAGAGUGGUUAUUUUUAUUUGUAAUUAUAAAUUAGUGGGCUAAACUCCAAGGGGUAUGAAAUGUUGCAUCAUGUCAAACCCUAAAUUCUACUUUUGUUUGGUGCAUAAUUCUUAGAAAUGCUAAUUUGAAUUUGUGGCUUGUUUGGAUUUGAAUCAAAUAGAGUAAAUAAAAAGAAAAGGGGAAACAAAUGCCAGAAUAAAAGAAAAAGGAAAGAAGCCCGCUCCCCCCGCCCCCUCGGCCUUUCGGCCCAUCUGGCCCAUCCCGCGCGCGCCUUCCCCCCCUCUUCUCUCUCUGCCCUGGCGGGCCCGCCCGUCAGCGCGACCGCCUUCCCCGCGCCCGCUUUCCUCUCUCUCUCUGCUCGCGGGCCCGGCCUGUCAGCUUCCUCGUCCCCGCGUAACCGCCGCCCGGUCCGCGUGUGCCGCGGACUCCGCGCCCACGUCGCGCGUGGAGCUCGCAACCACCUCGCCUCGGCCACUUGAGCCCAGAGCCUCGCUCGCCCUCUCCCCCUCCCUCAGUUGCGCACCUGCAGACCCCUCUCCCACCUCCCCCACGCUGCGCACACGCCAGAGCGCCGCCGCCAUUAAACCGCCGCCGCCCGAGCUCGUUUCUCCGUCGCCGUUGGAGCCCCGCCGUGCCCUCUGCCACGGUGAGCUCCGCCUCGACGUCCGCAACCCGGGACACGCCCCAAUUUCCCCUCUCCCUCCCCGAAUCCCUCUGCCCGCGCUCACCGCCGUUCUCUGCGCAGUCGCCGAGGUCCGCCACCGUCGACUCGGGCUGCCGCCGCGUCUCCGUCGCCAUCGAGGGGUCCCCGGAGUUCGCCUUGAGGUAAGGAACCUCUCCCGCCCCCUCCCGACCUUUUUAUUGCCCCCCCGUCGCGUUUAAUUGCUCGCCGGAGUUCUUUAGCGCCACCGCCGAGCCGCUUUGCCGCGGGCCGCCCCCCUCCGGUGUCCCUGCCCCGACCCAGUCCCCACCGGAAGGUUCCCCGCGCCCUCCCCAACCUCCCCGGCCGCCCAGGUCGCCCCAAGGACCCGCAGAGCCCCCGCGCCCCUCGUCUCCGGCGAGUUCUCCGCCGCGGGGACGGGCGCCGCCGCCUCUGUUAGCCGUAGGAGAAGGAAGCCGGCCACCCAAUCCCCGCCGUCCAUUCCAGAUCGAAUGGCCCUGUUUCAAUUAGGCCGGGCCCAACCCUAGCCGUUCGCCUGAGAUCCAACGGCCCAGAGCCGUUUCCCCCGCCCCCCGCCUCCCUGCCAUUUGGGCCCCGCUUGUCAGCCGUCCGCCUGCGCGCUGCCCGCCUGGCCCCGCCUGUCAGCCGUCCGCCCCGCGCUGCCCGCCCGGCCCCGCCUGUCAGCCGCUCAGACCGCCGCGCGCUCGCGCGCUCGCCCGCGGAUCUAAUCUCGGGCGUUGAUCCGAGAUCCAACGGCUAUAAGAGCCCGAUACCCCUUCGCCCGCGCUUUUUCUUAAAGAGACCCCCGCCUUUCCGCAAAUUAACCCGCCGUCCCUGGAUUUUCACAGUUAGGUCCUCAGACCUUUUAUUUAAUUCAAAAUAAGUAUUUAAGACAUAUUUUUAAUCCCUAAUCUUGUAAAAUGCAUAACUUUGUCAUAUGAACUCCAAAUUAGGUGCUUCAAAUUGCAAAAUGCUCACAAUAUUCCUAUCUAUCUAUUUAAAUAAUGUUUCCCUGCUGUUUUUAUGUCCCAAUUAAUAGUUGGUCAUUAGGGUAAAACUAAGGUUAUUGGAACCCCUAUUUGAGAUAAAUAAAGAUAGAAGACUUUAAUAAAAGUUGGAGCACCUAGGUUUAUGGACUUAACACCAUGUAAUGAUUUAACCCCACCACUGACUUAGACCUGAUUAGUGGAUAAUGAAUCAUUUUAUAUAGUCAUCUAUCCUAGACCUAGGGAACACUAGAUUGCCAAUCCUUUUCUACUGUAAACUUGUGAUCUCUUUGCUGCAUAUGCUUGGUUUCUGUUUUUUUGUUUGUUAUUUCCCAAGUACAUAGUGUGAAUGAUUACUUUACGUAGACAACGAGCAGUCUGUGUUUCUCGAGGAAGUGGCAGAAGAAGUCCCUGAUCAGCAGUUUGGUGAAGGCAAGUGUCCUCUGACCCAUUAUGUCCUAUUUAAUUAUAAUUCACUCUCCCGCAUUACUUAAUUGAGACCUAAGGAUUGACUAGCUUUAUACUUUACCUUAUCCUUGAUGACCUUUUGGGUUAUUAUUAGGGCUAGCAUUUUGCUAUUGCCUUAACCUAAUCAAUGAACAUGAUGUGACUAUUUAUGAUACGAUACUGUUAUCCUGAUGAUAUUGAUGAUCUUGUGAUUACUCUAGGGGACUCAGGCUGUUUCCUAAGUACCUCUCCGUAAGGACCUGUUCGUUGAGAGACCACCCGGGAUAACAGUGCAACCAUAAGGGUGAAAUGGGAUGCCCUUAGCUAAUUAAUUAGAGGAACUAGAGGUGUAGUUGCUUCGCCGUCGUGCCGUCAAUGGGGUCCAGGCACAGUGCUUGCUCUGCCGAGGCUGAGUGCCGAGGUUCUUUCGUUUUGCUUUUUUUGUUAGUCACUCUCCUGCGGGGAGGGGUACUGUGUUUAUCAAACUGGAGAAACCUAACGGGCAGCUAUGAUCUCUAGGAAAUCUUUGUAACAGCUACGUAGUGAUCCCCUGCCGGACCACCUAGGUAGUGGUCAAUGGGGAUUAGCUCUCCCCGGGUAGAAAGGGAAUCACGACUCAUGGGUAAAGUGUGCAACCUCUGCAGAGGGUAGUGAAAGUGAUAUAUCAGCCGUGCUCACGGUUAAGAGCAGCCUUGGGAUCCUCUUUGAUUAGAGAUACUCCGGAUACACUUCAGAUGAUGGUUAACGAUGGUGACUUUAAUUAUGCAUUCUAGUAUUCCUUCUCGGGGGAAGUACUUCUUGGGAUUAUAACUUGGGUUUUAUGAUAAAACCUGGCUCCUACUAAUAAUAAAUACCUGACCAACUAAAAGCAACUGCUUGAGCCUAACCCCACAUAAAGCUAGUCCACUUCAGCCAAACGGGACAUUUGCUGAGUACGUUGAUGUGUACUCAUCCUUUCUUUACCACAAAACACCAGGUUGUCCACGUUGUAACCACUGCUCAGGAGAAGGUGAAGCCGUGGAAGGAGACUUCCAGGAGUUCCAAGACUACGGUGAAUUCUAGGUGUGGGUUGGCGGCAACCCCCAGUCAGCUGCCUGUGAAGGCCUCAUCUUUACUGCGUUUCGCUAGCACUUUGAUUUAUCUGUUAAGUUGAUGACUAUGUGGAUGUCUACGACUCUGUGAUGUAAUAAGUUAAUACUCUUUUAUGUUAUCAUUCAAGCAAUGUGCGUUGAUGUUCAUUUAUGUAACCGCUGUGUACGUGAGUUCUGAUCCUGGCACGUACAUAGUUCGCAUUCGGUUUGCCUUCCAAAACCGGGUGUGACAGGCAACAUGGUGUUUUGUGAAAGCAAGGGUGAGUACACAUCAACGUACUCAACAAAUGUCCCGUUUGGCUGAGGUGGACUAGCUUUAUGUGGGGUUAGGAUCAAAGCAGUUGCUUUUAGUUCGUUAGGUAUUUAUUAUUAGUAGAAGCCAAGUUUUAGUAAUAACCAACCCGUAAAUCAUUUCCUCACCGAGGAACAUCAUUAUCAUCAUCGAACCAAAAACCAUUAAUAGAAUCAUUGCAUCUCGAAUCAUCGGUAUCUCUAAUCAAAGAGGAUCUUAAGACCGCUCUUAACCAUGAGCACGACUGAUAUAUCAGUUUCAUUACACUCUGCAAAGGUUGCACAAUUUACCCAUGAGCCGUGAUUCCCUUUCUAUCCAAGGAGCGCUACUCCCCAUUGAUCACUACUUGGGUGAUCUGGCAAUGUAUCACUACGUAGCCUUUACAAAGAUUCCCCAGAGGUCAUAGCCACACGUUAGGUUUCUCCAGUUUGAUAAACACAGUACCUCUCCCCACAGGAAGGGUGACUAACAAAACCAAAUCGAAAGAACCUCGGCAACCAGCCUCGGCAGAGCAAGUACUAGUUAAAACAUUUGAUUCGACGUAAUUAUGUUAAUUGACAUUUAUGAAAUACAAAUUAAAACUACUUAGUUUUGACUAAUUUAUUGUUUUAAUUAUGGAUGAUUAAAUAAAUAACUAAUUAACUGACAUGAGUGAUUAUAAGCGAACAGUUUAAUGUCGCGCGCGAUUGGCGUGCGGCAAGGCGUGCGAACAGCACGCGCGACCCUCGCGAACGACACGCGCGAAACAACACCGCGGCACGCGGGCCGAUACGAUACGUGGAAACUAAUAAAUGGACAGCAUGAUUAAACUAAACAAUUAUUAAUAAGAAAUAUUUCAGUUAAGGUUAUCAUGUUGGUGACUAAUUAUAAACGCGCAAAUCUAAUUCAUAAAUUAGAUUUUAAAAUUGAAACAUCGUUCUAGUUGUCAUCGGUCAAACAAACGUUUAAAUAAAUUAAAUAAAAAGUGCAAUAGUAGGAAAAUACUUCUAACAUGUAGAUAAUUUUAAUACGAAUCUACGCAACUUAAACGGAUUAAAUCGGGUUUAAAAGCAAAAGUUAUCACUGUUUUAAACUAGACUGAAAUUCAUGUGUACGAAACACGGACUAAAUUAUCAAACUACCAUUUUCUUCCUCACCUCAUCUUCUUCCUCCCUCGCUGGGAACGACCAUGGGAGCUUGGGUAGGGGGCACGCGCAGGGGAGAGGAGCUCGACCGCCACCGAGAGAGGGGGGGUCAGGGCCGCGCUAAGGCCGGCCGGCCACCGCCGCCGCUGGGGAGGGGCUGCGUGGGGGGGGGGAACGAAGGGGAGGCGGCGGUGCAGCCGGGGAAUAAGAGGGAAGGGAGAGGGGCCCCUACACAGACGGGAAAAGGAAGAAACAAUAAAACCCUAGGUGCAACAAUGGAGGUUUCUCACUGGGGAAGAAGACCAUCGCCGGAGCCAAGGAGGAAAUCGUUGAUCGACGGAGAUUCGUAGGUCCGAUCGAUGAACCGGACAUACUGCGACGAAGCCCUCGAUGAGACGAACGUAACGGUACCCUCGGAUUCUGCAGACGAUGCACGGAUUGGGAGUAAUUGCUCGCUUGAGUUGUCGCCGGAGUUGGAACCGCUUCCGAACUUCGGCGAGCAAUUCCGGGAGCUGGAAAUUGAAUCUGGGAAACCAUUUUGUGUUCUGAAAUGGGCUCGACGAGGAGAAACCAGGCAUGUAUAUAUAGUUGGGGUUCGGACGAGAUGGAAAUUCGGUUCAAAUUCGGAUUUUACCAUUUAUAAAAUUCGAAAAAGCCUAGAAAUCCAUAUUGUAGAUGCUUCCAGAAAUUCCCGAAAAAAUCCUAUAAAUGUUUUGGCACCUAAUGAACUCAAAAAAACAUAUUUAGAGUUUCUAAAAACAUUUUAUGUAUCUCAAAUAAAUAGAUUUUGGUUUCCGGAAAAUAGAAAAAUAUUCCAGAAAAUAUGAAAAUCUAUCAAGAGCUUCUAUAGGAUUACACUUAGAAACAUGAUGCAACGGCAUGAAUGGAACAACCAAAGCGCCUCUAGGGCUGAUUCCACUAGGUUUAUGAUAAUAUAAAACAAAAUAAUUCUCCAUUUUUAGGAAAAAGAGAAGAAAAACAAAGAAAUGAGAGAAUAACACCUGAAUUUGGUGCAUAUUAGGAAAGAAAUUUUAUGCCCUUAAAUUUAGGGUGUUACACGAGGGCAACUAAGAUUUACACCGAAAUAUGUGUAGAAGAGGUCAAUGCACACAAUGGGCCACAACAAUUUUUGAAUGCGGAAGGGUAUGCAAACCUUAUUCGAAAGUUUAAGGAAAUAACUGGACUGACAUACACAAGGAUCAAAUGAAAAAUCGUUGGGGCACACUGAAACGAAUGUACACUCGAUGGACAACACUCAAUGAAAGGGCCACGGGGCUAGGUCGAGAUCCUCAUACUAGAUGUAUCAAUGCCAGUGAUGAAUGGUGGGCUAAGCAAAAUAAAUUAAGUAUAAUUUCAUUUUAUUUUGUCCUAUAGUAGUAGAUUACUUCUUCCCAUCUGAAUUUAGACACAAUAAUUAUCUACUACAGGCAAUGCCGAACUGUUUAAUUUUCAAAACCCAACUACUAGAGAAUGAGGAUGAUCUAAGGAUCAUGUUUGGACAUAUUGUCUGCACAAAUGAAAAAUAUCCUAAUUCCUAGAGUUGAGGAUGAUGGUUCAUCAUCUGAUGAUAAAGAAUACGAUAUUCUCCUUGUUGGUGAAAACAGCACCCCAAACCCACUCACUUCACAGAAAGGAAAGCACAAAAUGAUUCGCCGAAGCCUCAUAAUAAAAAGAACAACAGAGAUGAGUACAUGAAAAGUAUUGUCGACGCCAUUGAGAGUAGGACUUUUAGCUCCAACAAGACCGUUACAUCUUGUGAAGACGACUCGGUGCAUAAGGAGGUUGCUGCUCAAUUGAAGCAAGUCAGCACCGAUGGUGCUGAAAGGGAAAUAGGGUUAACCUUUUCCUACAAUUAAUUUUGGUGGUUGAAUGCCCAACACAAAUAUAUGGACUAACUAGUUUGCUCUAGAAUACAUGUUCUACAGGUGCAAAAAGGUUCAAUAUAAACAAAUAAAUAUUCUAGUUAGGGAUCCAAUUUGAAGGAGCAAAAGAAACCAAGUGUGCUCUGGUCUGGCGCACCGUACUGUCCGGUGUGCCACCGGACAGUGUCUAGUGCACUAGGCCCGUACAGGGUUGAGCCAGCCACUCUCGGGUUUCGGCAGGCGCACUCCGUUAUAAUUCAUCGGACUGUCCGGUGUGCCAGCGGAGCAACGGCUUACUCACGCAACGGUCGACUGCAAAAGCCGCUGAUAGAGGAACAGUGCGCGCAGAGUCAGAGCCGCAGAGUCAGAGGCGCACCGGACUGUCCGGUGCCGCAAGAGGACAAAGCCUCCAACGGUCGACCGGGCUCCAGACCCUAACGGUUGGGUGACGUGGCGGCGCACCGGACAGUGAACAGGACCUAUCCGGUGGUGCACCAGACUGUCCGGUGCGCCCAUCGCCAGCAGCCUCCCUAACGGCUUCUUGGUGGUUGAGGGCUAUAAAUACUCCCCUAACCACCACAACUCCAAGCAUCCAAGUUUUCUGAAGUUCUCAUUCAAUACAAGAGCUAGUGCAUUCACUCCAAGACACAUUUCCAAAGAUCAAAGCCUCUUCAAGUCCCAAAUUCAUUCCAACCACCUAGUGACUUGAGAGAGAGUGUGUUCGUGUUCAUUUGCGCACUUGUUGCUUGGAUCGCUUUCUUCCUUCCUCAUUCUUGUUCCAAAGUGACUUGUAAUCAAAGCAAGAGACACCUAAGUGUGUGGUGGUCCUUGCGAGGUCUAAGUGACCCGUUUGAUUAAGGAGAAAGCUCACUCAGUCUAAGUGACCGUUUGAGAGAGGGAAAGGGUUGAAAGAGACCCGGUCUUUGUGACCACCUCAACAGGAAUUAGGUUCUUUGGAACCGAACCUCGGUAAAACAAAUCACCGUGUUUAUUCGAUUGACUUCCAUUUGAUUUGUUUUCCCCCUCUCUCCCGGACUUGAUUUUUGUUCUAACGCUAACCACGGCUUGUAGUGUGUGUUUAAAGUUGUAAAUUUCAGAUUACAUCUAUUCACCCCCCUCUAGGUGACUUUCAAUUGGUAUCAGAGCCCGGUUCUUCAUUAGAGUCUAACAACUCGAAGUGAUGUCGGGAGUCACGCCAAGAGGGAGAUCGUGACCGGCGACAAGCCCGCAAGCUCGGGGAGAACCCUCUCAAGGGAGUCCGGCCAUAAGCAUAAGGAGGAAUCCUCUUCCUCCAACAAGACGCAUCAGAAGGGUGACAAGAAGAAGAAGAUGAAGAAGGUGGUCUACGACGAGACCGACUCUUUGUCACCCUCCACGUCAUCAAGCUUCGACUCGUCCGUCGCUUCUAAGCGCCAUGAGCGCAAGAAGUAUAGUAAGAUGCCCCUACGCUAUCCCCGUAUUUCUAAGCGCACUCCAUUACUUUCCGUUCCCUUAGGCAAACCACCAUAUUUUGAUGGUGAAGAUUAUUUAUGUGGAGUGAUAAAAUGAGGCAUCACCUAACCUCACUCCACGAAAGCAUAUGGGACAUAAUUGAAUUUGGAGCGCAGGUACCACAUGUGGGGGACAAGGACUACAACUCGGACGAGGCCACCCAAAUUAGGCACUUUAACUCUCAAGCCACGUCUAUACUCCUCGCCUCCUUGUGUCGAGAGGAGUAUAACAAGGUGCAAGGGUUAAAGAGUGCCAAAGAAAUUUGUGACGUGCUCAAAACCGCACACGAAGGGGACUAUGUGACCAAGAUCACCAAACGGGAGACGAUCGAGGGGGAGCUCGGUCGUUUCGUCCUCAACAAGGGAGAAGAUCCACAAGCAAUGUAUAACCGGCUAAAGACCAUGGUGAACCAAGUGCGCAACCUCGGGAGCACCAAAUGGGAUGACCAUGAAAUGGUCAAGGUUAUUAUAAGAUCCCUCGUUUUUCGUAAUCCUACUUAAGUUCAAUUAAUACGUGGGGAUCCUAGAUAUAAACUAAUGUCUCCCGAGGAAGUUAUUGGCAAGUUUGUGAGCUUUGAACUUAUGAUCAAAGACUCCAAACACAUUGUCAACUUGGAGCAAGGCACCACCUCCACACCCGAGGUGCAACCCGUCGCAUUCACGGUGACAGAAGAAGAGAAGAGACAGUCUACACCAAGUAGGCUUCCAAUCGAUGCCUCCAAGCUCGACAGCAAGGAGAUGGCGCUCAUCAUCAAGAGCUUCCGCCAAAUCCUCAAGCAUAGGAGGGGGAAGGACUACAAACCCCGCUCCAAAAGGGUGUGCUACAAGUGUGGUAAGCCCGAUCAUUUCAUUGCUAAAUGCCCAAUGUCUAGUGAAAGUGACAGGGACGACGACAAGAAAGGGAAGAAGAAAGAAAAUAAGAGGUACUACAAGAAGAAGGGCGGCGAUGCCCACGUGUGUCGGGAAUGGGACUCCGACGAGAGCUCCACCGACGAGGACGUCGCAAACAUAACCGUCAACAAGGGCCUCCUCUUCCCCAACGUCGGCCACAAAUGUUUCAUGGUCAAGGAUGGCAAGAAAAAGAAGGUACAAUCUAGAGCCACCCCCAAAUAUACAACAUCUAGUGAUGAGAGUAGCUCUAGUGAAGAUGAAGAUGAUUUGCUUACUCUUUUUGCCAACCUCAGCAUGGAACAAAAGAAAAAAAUUAAAUGAAUUAAUAGAAGCUAUUCAUGAGAAGGAUGACCUCUUGGAAAGCUAAGAGGACUUCCUCAUUAAAGAAAACAAAAAACAUAUUAAAUUGAAAAAUGCUUAUGCUCAGGAAAUAGAAAAAAGUGAAAACCUAACCAAAGAGCUUAGCAUUUGUCAUGACUCUAUUUCAAACCUUAGAACUGAGAAUGCUAGUUUAAUUUCUAAGGUUGAAAAGUUAAAUGUUUGUAAUGAUUCAAUUUCCAGUCUUAGAAAUGAGAAUGCUAGUUUGGUUUCUAAGAUUAAAGAAUUGAAUGUUUGCAAUGAUUCUAUUACCUGUCUUAGAGAUGAGAAUGAAAGAUUAAAUGCUAAGAUAGAGGAAUUAAAUGUUUGCAAACCCUCUACAUCCACUGUUGAUCACGUUUCUAUUUGCACUAGAUGUAGAGAUGUUAAUAUAGAAGCUAUUAAUGAUCACCUUGCCAUGAUUAAACAACAAAAUGAUCAUAUAGCUAAAUUAACUGCUAAAAUUAAUGAGCAUGAAAUAGAAAACGAAAAGUUUAAAUUUGCUAGAAGCAUGCUCUAUAAUGGGAGACGCCCUGGCAUUAAGGAUGGCAUUGGUUUCCAACAGGGGAGCAAUGUCAAGCUUAAUGCCCCUAAAAGAUUGUCUGAGUUUGUUAAGGGCAAGGCUCCCAUGGUUCAGGAUAAUGAAGGCUACAUUUUAUAUCCUGCUAAUUAUCCUAAGCAUAAAAUUAGGAAGAUUCAUGCUAGGAAACCUCAUACUGUUUCACAUCAAGCAUUUAUAUAUAAAAAUGAGGCUUCUAGCUCUAGGCACUCCACUCACAUUAAAAUGCCUAAAAAGAAAAUUCCUGCUGCAUCAAAUGAACAUAACAUAUCAUUUAAGACUUUUGAUGCAUCUUAUGUUCUUACUAACAAAUCAGGCAAAAUAGUUGCCAAAUAUGUUGGGAGCAAACACAAGAGUCCAAAGACUUGUGAUGCUACUGCUGAUGGUGCUGAUAUUGCUAUCGAUACGUUUUAUAUUAAUUCAGUUUCUGCAGCUAUAUUAUUAGAUUCUGGAGCUACGCAUUCGUUCAUUUAUGCUCGUUAUGUCAAUGCAAAUGAGUUACCUCUUCAAACUAUGCAAAAACCCAUGAUAGUAAUCACCCCUAAAGGGCCUAUUGAAGCAAAUUUUAUGACCAACAGAUUAACAUUGACAAUCAUGGGGAGCGAAUUUUGGUCUAUGCCUAUAGUAUUAGAGGAAAGCAGUAUUGAUCUGAUUCUUGGUAUGCCAUGGUUAAGGAAAGCAAAGGCAGUUAUACAUUAUGCUGAGGGAACCGUAGAACUCAAUAGUCCAAAAGGAGAAAGAUUCGAAGUCAUGAUUGAAAGGGAAAUGUGCCCUUGGGCCAUUUCUAAGUAUUUUGGUGAUUGAGUGCAAACUCAAGUGCUUAAAUGUGAAUUUAUGCCAUGGAUGAAUAAAGUGCAAA
rnacentral:lncRNA from 1 species